rnacentral:rRNA from 1 species
AUGGACGAGAGCAACAACAACAUCACCAAGAUGCUCGAGCCACUUCUCUCCAAGGUGGACGAGCAUAAGGCCAAACACGACAAGCAGAUUGAGAUGCAGGCCGCCUUCAACGCGCAGAUCACGCAGGAGGUUCGCUGGCUCGCCAAGCAGAUCGAUCUGACCCAGGCGGACGUCGACGCGAUGCGCAAGACGGUCGAAGGCUCGACAUCUCCCGCAGGCUCGGUCACCACCCCAGUUCACCAGGCCGUGACGCAGCAACAACCACCGCCACGCCCAGCCCCAGAUCCGGGCCGCCCGUCUUCCUCCCACACGCCUAGGUGA